rnacentral:rRNA from 1 species
UGGGGAAUAUUGGACAAUGGGCGCAAGCCUGAUCCAGCCAUGCCGCGUGGAUGAUGAAGGCCCUAGGGUUGUAAAGUCCUUUUAACGGGGAAGAUAAUGACGGUACCCGUAGAAUAAGCCCCGGCUAACUUCGUGCCAGCAGCCGCGGUAAUACGAAGGGGGCUAGCGUUGCUCGGAAUUACUGGGCGUAAAGCGCACGUAGGCGGCUUUUUAAGUCGGAGGUGAGAUCCUGGAGCUCAACUCCAGAACUGCCUUCGAUACUGGAGAGCUCGAGUUCGGGAGAGGUGAGUGGAACUGCGAGUGUAGAGGUGAAAUUCGUAGAUAUUCGCAAGAACACCAGUGGCGAAGGCGGCUCACUGGCCCGAUACUGACGCUGAGGUGCGAAAGCGUGGGGAGCAAACAGGACUAGAUACCCUGGUAGUCCACGCUGUAAACGAUGAAUGCUAGCCGUUGGCGAGCUUGCUCGUCAGUGGCGCAGCUAACGCUUUAAGCAUUCCGCCUGGGGAGUACGGUCGCAAGAUUA